rnacentral:pre_miRNA from 1 species
AGUGGAAUUGCUGGGUCAUAUGGUAGUACUCUUUUUAGUUUUUUGAGGAACUGCCACACUGUUUUCCACAACAGCUGUACCAUUUUGCAUUACCACCAGCAAU